UACGUAGGUGGCAAGCGUUGUCCGGAAUUAUUGGGCGUAAAGAGCAUGUAGGCGGGAUUUUAAGUCUGUUGUUAAAAUGCGGGGCUCAACCCCGUAGUGCGAUGGAAACUGGAAUUCUUGAGUGCAGGAGAGGAAAGGGGAAUUCCCAGUGUAGCGGUGAAAUGCGUAGAUAUUGGGAGGAACACCAGUGGCGAAGGCGCCUUUCUGGACUGUGUCUGACGCUGAGAUGCGAAAGCUAGGGGAGCGAACGGGAUUAGAUACCCCGGUAGUCCUAGCCGUAAACGAUGGGUACUAGGUGUAGGGGGUAUCGACCCCUCCUGUGCCGGAGUUAACGCAAUAAGUACCCCGCCUGGGGAGUACGGCCGCAAGGUUGAA
rnacentral:rRNA from 1 species